CCUACGGGAGGCUGCAGUGAGGAAUAUUGGUCAAUGGACGAGAGUCUGAACCAGCCAAGUAGCGUGAAGGAUGACUGCUCUAUGGGUUGUAAACUUCUUUUAUAAAGGAAUAAAACGAGGCACGUGUGCCUUUUUGCAUGUACUUUAUGAAUAAGGAUCGGCUAACUCCGUGCCAGCAGCCGCGGUAAUACGGAGGAUCCGAGCGUUAUCCGGAUUUAUUGGGUUUAAAGGGAGCGUAGAUGGGUUGUUAAGUCAGUUGUGAAAGUGUGGGGCUCAACCGUAAAAUUGCAAUUGAUACUGGCAGUCUUGAGUACAGUUGAGGUAGGCGGAAUUCGUGGUGUAGCGGUGAAAUGCUUAGAUAUCACGAAGAACACCGAUUGCGAAGGCAGCUUACUAAACUGUGACUGACAUUGAUGCUCGAAAGUGUGGGGAUCAAACAGGAUUAGAUACCCGAGUAGUC
rnacentral:rRNA from 1 species